AACGUAGGAGACAAACGUUAUCCGGAGUUACUGGGCGUAAAGGGCGUGUAGGUGGUUUCGUAAGUCUGGCGUGAAAUUUCUCGGCUUAACCGAGGCAGGUCGUCGGAUACUGCGGAACUUGAGGACGGUAGAGGCGUGUGGAAUUCCGGGUGUAGUGGUGAAAUGCGUAGAGAUCCGGAGGAACACCAGUGGCGAAGGCGACACGCUGGGCCGUACCUGGCACUGAUGCGCGACAGCAUGGGGAGCAAACAGG
rnacentral:rRNA from 1 species